UUGGGGAAAAUUUAAUUAAUUGAUAAUUUAAUAAAAAAAUUUUUAAAAAUAUAUUUUAAUGGGGGUUAAAGUAUAUAUAAUAGAAAAAAUUUUUGAUUUUAUAGUAAAUUAGUAUUGUAAAAGAAUAUUGAAAUAUAAAUGAAAUAUUAAUUAUUUUAAAAGUAAUUUUAAUUUAUUGUAUCUUGUGUAUCAGAGUUUAUUAAUAAUAAUUUUUAUAUAAAAAAGUCUCGAAUUUAAAAGAGAUAAUUAAUUAAGAAAGUUGUUGUUUCAUAAAUAUUUUUAAUAAUUAAUUUGAAAUGAAAUGUUAUUCGUUUUUAAAUAUAUCUAGUUUUUUUAGAAAUAAAUUUAAUUUAGAAUUUUUUUUUUAGAAAAGUCUAUUGAUUGAUUUUUCUAAAAAAAAAUUUAAUAUUUUAGGGGAUAAUCUUUAAAUUAAAAUUUUAUAAUUAAUUUUUUUUUUUAUUAAAAUUUUUAAAAUUUAUAUUGUUUAUAAAUUAUAUUUUUUUGUAAAAAAUUUUAAUUUAAAAUAAAAUUUUAAAUUUAUUUAAAUUUUUAUAAAAAAAUAAAUUUUAAAAAAAAAAAUUUAGAUAUAAUGAUAAAAUUAGUAUAAUUUAAUGUUAAAAUUUAAAAAGUUUUAAUGAAUUUAUAAAAAUAUUAUUAAUUGAAAAUUAAUAAAAAGGAAUUCGGCAAACAUUUAUAUUCACUUGUUUAUCAAAAACAUGUCUUUUAGUUAAUAAUUUAAAGUCGAAUCUGCCCACUGAUUUAAAUAAAAUUAAAGGGCUGCAGUAUAUUGACUGUACAAAGGUAGCAUAAUCAUUAGUCUUUUAAUUGAAGACUUGUAGUCUUUUAAUUGAAGACUUGUAUGAAGGAUUUGAUGAAAUAUAAACUGUCUCUUUUUUAUAAUUAAAAUUUAAUUUUUUAGUUAAAAAGCUAAAAUAAAUUUAAAAGACGAGAAGACCCUAUAGAGUUUUAUAUUUUUUUAUAUUUAAAAUUUUAUGUUAAAUUUAAAAUGAAAAUUAAUUUAAUUAUUUUGUUGGGGUGAUAAAAAAAUUAAAUAAACUUUUUUAUUUUUAAACAUUAAUUAGUGAAUUUAUGAUCCAUAAAUUAUGAUUAAAAGAGAAAAUUACCUUAGGGAUAACAGCGUAAUUUUUUUUUUUAGCUCAAAUAAGAAAAAAAGUUUGCGACCUCGAUGUUGGAUUAAGAUAAAAUUUGAAUGUAGAAGUUUGAAAUUUUGAUCUGUUCGAUCAUUAAAAUCUUACAUGAUCUGAGUUCAAACCGGUGUAAGCCAGGUUGGUUUCUAUCUUUAGAGAAUUAAAAUAUUUUAGUACGAAAGGAUCAAAUAUUUAAAAUAAUUUUUAAAUUAGUGAAUUUUAUUAAUUUUAUAUAAAUUUUAAAUGAAU
rnacentral:rRNA from 1 species